rnacentral:lncRNA from 1 species
GAUACAUUACAGCUGUAGGGGAAAGAAAAAAAAAAAGGUUUAAAAAAAGUGCUUUCUUUUUCUUCUUGCUUACAUUAGCAGCACCUUUCCAUCUCACAACCCACCUAGGAAUGUCUUUGCGAACUGACACAACCCCAUGGAAGAUGCUUGCUUAGGACACCAGCCAGGCAGCUACACUCUACAGAACAAAUGCACACACAGAAACCAGGAACAGUGAGGGUGCUUGAAAACUGACAGAGAUAAAAGCAGGAACCACCUGCUGGAAUCCCCGAAGGGGAAGGAUUACAAACAGUGAGAAGCACAGUCGCACAGUGAGCACGAGCUGCUGGGCUGAAGUCCACAACAAGGUCAAUGAGUGCAGAGCACAAGGACCAUCAGUCUGAACCCAAAAAGUACUGCUGCCUUUGGGUUUUCAGCAGCACCUAUUACACUGGAUCCUUAGCUGCAGAAAAGGUAGAAAAUAACCACUGUAACACAGUUUUAAUAAUGAUAUAAACAUGACAAAGCCUUCAUCAACACAACUAUUUUUUUUUGAGAAAAUGUUUUCCUGACCUCUGUGAACUGGGCAAACAGCUGACACACAGUAUAUGGUUACAACAGGUAACAAAGCAAGCCAAGAGAGGAACACUGAAAAAUCACAAACUUCAAUCUCACCAGACCAGAGCAAGAGAAAACACAAGGCUCAGUUAAGCCUUCCAGAGCUUCGUGAGCUGUAACACUGGAAGAUCACUGCCCACUGUUACAUUCUUCAAGGACUUUCCCAGACAAUGUGCUUUACUCAGUAUAUUCUGUUCCCAAUGGUACUGACAGACAGUAUGAAUUGUUUCUUUAGCGAUAGCUGAACAUUUCAGAAUUACUGGGAGCAAGUAAUUUUUUAGAUGAUCAUCUGUGACUCAUCAAAUCCCAGGCAGCCAGAAACUUUUAAAAACUAAGAGAGAGUGGCAAGUCACUACAACACUGAAGUCUUGAGAGCCAGCAUGUUAGUAUAUCUCAUUCUGAAUGUUUUAAUAGUACAUCAUAUGAAGACUUUUAGAAGCAUUGAUAGAAUUACUAGCUUCAGGUGCACCAUCACUGUUUUAUACCUCAGCAAGGGGAGAAUCCCCAGAUGACAGCAGGAAGGUGGAAAAGAAACUUCAUUGAACCACCUUGCCUGUAGCUUCAGCUUAUGGAACCUCCACUCUUUUAAGUUACCCCAUUUGUUUCCAAGGUGCUUCCACUAGCUAGCUUAGAAUGACCCCACCUGGCAGAGACACGGAGUUCAUGAACAUCCUUAAAUCUCAGCCUCAGUAUUUUCUAACUGCAAACAAGGAAUGAACCUGAGUAACUGCUACAUGAGUGAUUCUCCAGGGAGAUCCUCCAGUGAGAGCCCCUCUCUCUCAUACCUGUUUUCAGAAGUUGGAAGCUGAACCUAAUAGUAAGAAGUCAAAAGGGCUUCAGGUGACAAAAUUCUUGCUCCAUCAUACCUUCCUCGGGGACUUUGUCUGUUCACAGGCCAUCA